CCUACGGGGGGCUGCAGUGGGGAAUAUUGCACAAUGGGGGAAACCCUGAUGCAGCGACGCAGCGUGCGGGAUGACGGCCUUCGGGUUGUAAACCGCUUUCAGCAGGGAAGAAGCGAAAGUGACGGUACCUGCAGAAGAAGUACCGGCUAACUACGUGCCAGCAGCCGCGGUAAUACGUAGGGUACGAGCGUUGUCCGGAAUUAUUGGGCGUAAAGAGCUCGUAGGUGGUUGGUCACGUCUGCUGUGGAAACGCAACGCUUAACGUUGCGCGUGCAGUGGGUACGGGCUGACUAGAGUGCAGUAGGGGAGUCUGGAAUUCCUGGUGUAGCGGUGAAAUGCGCAGAUAUCAGGAGGAACACCGGUGGCGAAGGCGGGACUCUGGGCUGUAACUGACACUGAGGAGCGAAAGCAUGGGGAGCGAACAGGAUUAGA
rnacentral:rRNA from 1 species